rnacentral:rRNA from 1 species
AGUGAACGCUGGCGGUAGGCCUAACACAUGCAAGUCGAACGGCAGCACAGUAAGAGCUUGCUCUUACGGGUGGCGAGUGGCGGACGGGUGAGGAAUACAUCGGAAUCUACUUUUUCGUGGGGGAUAACGUAGGGAAACUUACGCUAAUACCGCAUACGAUCUACGGGUGAAAGCAGGGGAUCUUCGGACCUUGCGCGAUUGAAUGAGCCGAUGUCGGAUUAGCUAGUUGGCGGGGUAAAGGCCCACCAAGGCGACGAUACGUAGCUGGUCUGAGAGAAUGAUCAGCCACACUGGAAGUGAGACACGGUCCAGACUCCUACGGGAGGCAGCAGUGUGGAAUAUUGGACAAUGGGCGCAAGCCUGAUCCAGCCAUACGGCGUGGGUGACGAAGGCGUUGGGGUUGUAAAGCCCUUUUGUUGGGAAAGAAAAGCAGCAGGUUAAUACCCCGCUGUUCUGACGGUACCCAAAAAAUAAGCACCGGCUAACUUCGUG